GCCCUCGUAGCUCAGUGGAUAGAGCAUCGGCCUCCGGAGCCGUGUGCACAGGUUCGAAUCCUGUCGAGGGCG
rnacentral:tRNA from 1 species